GGGUUGUGAGGUUAAGCGACCAAGCGUACACGGUGGAUGCCCUGGCAGUCAGAGGCGAUGAAGGACGUGCUAAUCUGCGAAAAGCGCCGGUAAGGUGAUAUGAACCGUUAUAACCGGCGAUGUCCGAAUGGGGAAACCCAGUGUGACUCGUCACACUAUCAUUAACUGAAUCCAUAGGUUAAUGAGGCGAACCGGGGGAACUGAAACAUCUAAGUACCCCGAGGAAAAGAAAUCAACCGAGAUUCCCCCAGUAGCGGCGAGCGAACGGGGAGGAGCCCAGAGCCUGAAUCAGCAUGUGUGUUAGUGGAAGCGUCUGGAAAGGCGCGCGAUACAGGGUGAGAGCCCCGUACACAAAAGCGCACAUGCUGUGAGCUCGAUGAGUAGGGCGGGACACGUGGUAUCCUGUCUGAAUAUGGGGGGACCAUCCUCCAAGGCUAAAUACUCCUGACUGACCGAUAGUGAACCAGUACCGUGAGGGAAAGGCGAAAAGAACCCCGGCGAGGGGAGUGAAACAGAACCUGAAACCGUGUACGUACAAGCAGUGGGAGCCCCACCACUAAGCCAGUGGUGAACUCCACAUACGCAUCCUUUGCGGAAGAUGCGGUUAACGGAGCGAAAGCGACGUUCAACCUCAGAAGAAGCAGAGGGGGCUUAGUGGUGGGGUGACUGCGUACCUUUUGUAUAAUGGGUCAGCGACUUAUAUUCUGUAGCAAGGUUAACCGCAUAGGGGAGCCGAAGGGAAACCGAGUCUUAAUUGGGCGUUAAGUUGCAGGGUAUAGACCCGAAACCCGGUGAUCUAGCCAUGGGCAGGUUGAAGGUUGGGUAACACUAACUGGAGGACCGAACCGACUAAUGUUGAAAAAUUAGCGGAUGACCUGUGGCUGGGGGUGAAAGGCCAAUCAAACCGGGAGAUAGCUGGUUCUCCCCGAAAGCUAUUUAGGUAGCGCCUCGUGAACUCAUCUCCGGGGGUAGAGCACUGUUUCGGCUAGGGGGCCAUCCCGGCUUACCAACCCGAUGCAAACUGCGAAUACCGGAGAAUGUUAUCACGGGAGACACACGGCGGGUGCUAACGUCCGUCGUGAAGAGGGAAACAACCCAGACCGCCAGCUAAGGUCCCAAAGUCAUGGUUAAGUGGGAAACGAUGUGGGAAGGCCCAGACAGCCAGGAUGUUGGCUUAGAAGCAGCCAUCAUUUAAAGAAAGCGUAAUAGCUCACUGGUCGAGUCGGCCUGCGCGGAAGAUGUAACGGGGCUAAACCAUGCACCGAAGCUGCGGCAGCGAACGUAUCACUUAAAACGAUUCAGAAGCUUACGAUUGACGGAGCGAAGCGACGUCAAAGCGUAUACAAAGUCGAGUCGGUUUAAGGAUACGUU
rnacentral:rRNA from 1 species